UAAGAGGUCCUGCCUGCCCUGUGACUCUAAGUUUAACGGCCGCGGUAUUUUAACCGUGCAAAGGUAGCGCAAUCACUUGUCCCUUAAAUAGGGACCUGUAUGAAUGGCUUAACGAGGGCUAAACUGUCUCCUUUCCCCAGUCAAUGAAAUUGAUCUACCCGUGCAGAAGCGGGCAUAACACCGUAAGACGAGAAGACCCUAUGGAGCUUUAGACAAAAGAUAGAUUAUGUCAAAUACCCUUAAUAAUGGCUUGAACCAAAUAAAUCCUAUCCCUAUCUUUGGUUGGGGCGACCGCGGGGAAACAACCAACCCCCACAUGGAAUAAGUACACCCAUACCUUUAAAACCAGAGCCACAGCUCUAAUAAACAGAAUAUCUGCCCACACAGAUCCGGCAGAAUGCCGAUCAAUGGACCAAGUUACCCUAGGGAUAACAGCGCAAUCCCCUUCUAGAGCCCCUAUCGACAAGGGGGUUUACGACCUCGAUGUUGGAUCAGGACAUCCUAACGGUGUACCCGCUUUUAAGGGUUCGUUUGUUCAACG
rnacentral:rRNA from 1 species